rnacentral:rRNA from 1 species
AUGCUCAAUUAUCUCUUAGUCUUUAAACAAUUGGCUAGCACACAUGAGCAAAUUUUUAGGACAAAUAUAAUUCAACUAGGCACAACGAAAAAUAGACAGGAUCCUGCUCCUUCCCUUGUUGUCUGGGAGCUGGUAUGUAGCCCUGAAAAUAAUGGAGGCUUGGGUAUCCUAAAUCUGGGUGUGCAAAAUGAGGCCCUAUUGAUGAAGCAUGCAAACAAGCUUUACAACAAGAUGGAUGUACCACGGGUACAACUGAACUGGAAUACUUAUUAUCACAAUGGGGUUUCUCGUGCAACUUCUAUUUGUGGAUCUUUUUGGUGGAGCGACAUCUGCAAGCUCAUGGACAAGUUUAGAGUCGCCACCUUUGUUCAGGUUAAUAAAGGUGACUCUGUUCUUUUUUGGUCUGACUGCAGGCAGGUUGGAAACUCAAUUACCCCAUUGCAACAGAGAUUCCUCAGGUUGUUCUCAUAUGCCAUUGACCCACUGGCUUCAGUUGGAGAUUUUUUGGAUUGCCAAAAUUUAGAUUCCAUGUUCCACUUACCUCUAUCUAAUCCGGCCUAUCAGGAGAUACAAACAGACAAACAUCGCAUGGAUAAUUUAGAGCUAAAUGAGGCUAUGGAGGACUCUUGGCCGUGGAGGGAUGGUGGCAAGAUUUACACAGCAAAGAGAUAUUACACUUAUUUCCACAAGCCCAUUGUCUCUAACCCCAUUUUGAAUUGGAUUUGGGCUCCUGGUUAUACUAUGAAAAAUCAUGGUUUUUGCAUGGAUGUUGGUGAUGGAUAG